UACGUAGGGUGCGAGCGUUAAUCGGAAUUACUGGGCGUAAAGCGUGCGCAGGCGGUUCGUUGUGUCUGCUGUGAAAUCCCCGGGCUCAACCUGGGAAUGGCAGUGGAAACUGGCGAGCUUGAGUGUGGCAGAGGGGGGUGGAAUUCCGCGUGUAGCAGUGAAAUGCGUAGAGAUGCGGAGGAACACCGAUGGCGAAGGCAACCCCCUGGGCUGACACUGACGCCUCAGGCACGAAAGCGUGGGGAGCAAACAGG
rnacentral:rRNA from 1 species